UUUUCCUUUUUGAUGUUAAUCUUCUUGGUAAACUGGCACACACAUGUUCUCGUUGAAUGUGUUGGAACUGCUCCUAGCCGAUAAGCUAACUCAUUGUUUCGGUUUUUGCACAUUUUCAGUUUUUGAAAGAAUGUUUUGUGUUUAAAAAGCAUUUAUUUGAUAAUUUAACAAGUGCAUUCAUAGUGAUAAGCACUGCAUAAAUAAAAAGUGGAGCAAAAGAAAUGAAAAAUUUUAAGGCACUAGUCACACUUGCAAAUUGUGACUGCAGUAAAAAUACUGUCACGCCAACUGACAGAAAGCACGACGGAAACACCAAAAACCUCUUUCAUGCACUUCCAAAAACAAAACAAAUUUUCAAGUGGCCUGCAGGGAACAAUCAAUCAUUUGCAUUUUUUGCAACAUAACCAGAAAAGCACCCCAACCGACUUCCUGUCAAGAGGAGGAACUUCCUGUUAAACGGCCAUCUUGAACAUCAGUUCAAUACAUGCUGUGGAGGACAAAGGAAGAAUGUUUGUUGAGAGCAAAAGCUUAAAGAAACAAGCAAACCAAGAAAACUAAAAUCCCUCAGUUCACCGUCAAACGCAACUGGUUUUCAACCUGAAUGACUGUAUGACCCCUUCACCAAUCAAAUCAAGAAAACAAAUUUCAAUAAUAAACAUAAAAAAAGGGGAAAUCCUUGUUCUGAGUUGUUCCUUGCUGACUGGGCUCUUUCAAGUGGAGCAUUACUGAGGGAAAAAAA